rnacentral:rRNA from 1 species
GACGAACCGUGCGAACGUUACUCGGAUUCAUUGGGCUUAAAGGGCGCGUAGGCGGCGGCGUAAGUUCGUGGUGAAAUCCCAUCGGCUCAACCGUGGAAUUGCUUCGAAUACUGCGUCGCUCGAGGGAGAUAGGGGACCGCAGAACUGCCGGUGGAGCGGUGAAAUGUGUUGAUAUCGGCGGGAAUGCCAGUGCCGAAAGGGGCGGUCUGGACCUCUUCUGACGCUGAGGCGCGAAAGCUAGGGGAGCGAACGGG